GAGUGAGAGAGGAAAAGCAGGAAGAGUGAAAAAGUGUAAUAAAUUAGGGUAGAAAUCGAGGGUUUUGCAGAAGGGCACGUGAUGAGUUUGCAGAGGGAAUCUAAGGAAGGUGAUUCCCGAGACAUAUGGCGUUAAAGCAUCCAACAAAAGCAAAAGAAAGAAAACAGCUAGCACCUCUGCAUCUGGUCCACCACGUUACCAUCAUAUCUUCAUUUACCACACAUUUUUUUAUGAUUUUCAAGAUAAAAAAGCUGAGCUGUGGUGGUGAAAUUUGCAUGCGUUCCCUUUCAUCUGCCUUAUUUAUGGAAGUGAAUGAGAGUAGCUUCCAGUAGGGUUCAGUAGGUAGGGUUUUCAUUAUGGUCAAGGGUUCUCUAUUGACCCUUUACCCUUAACCUUUUUCAAUACCAUUAGGGUUGUUGAGCCUAGAUUUAUCACUGCCUUUUCCAUUUCGAGUACCUCUCCCAUGCCCACUCACUUCAUCUAUAUAAAUAUUGAGUCUUUUCUCACAAACAAUCUUGUGGAGAUCCUAGAUCUCAGAUCUAAGCCUAUUGUUUUGCUGUUCUUUCUCAGAAAUCUUGAAAGAAAGAAAGGGUCCUGCUGUGUUUUUCCUUCAGGUCUCAGGUCUCUGGUCUUGAAAGAAAGAUAGGGUUCUGCCUUCAGGUCUCAGGAAAGUUUUCAGGUUAUGGUUGAAGGACGAACAGAAAAGGGGUUAUGGAGUGGAGCUCCUUGAAGUCCAAUCGAGGAUGUUACUGGGUGGGUUGAGCUGCUUAGCUAUGGAUCCCACAGUUCUACCCAUCAACGGCUUUUGUGGUAGUCUUGUGGCUUCCAUAUCUGGGGAGCUUAAUCUGCCUCUGUCGUUUUAUCCUUCUUUGGAUUGAAGGGAGCUCUACACCUUUCUCUCCUUCCAUCUGUCAUAGUGUCUUUUUGCUGUUGAACAACCUUGCUCCAGUGAUGAACAGGUGUUUGGAAUAGUUCUGGUUAAUUUUCAAUUCAUUGAGAUUCUGCUAUGAUUUACUGAUAUUUUUUAACUGGUUUUUUUGGAUCUGGUUUUGUGUGCUUCGAAAAGCAUGGUUAGACAUUUGAUUUAUACAUGUUUUUGGAUUUUUUUUUCUGCCUAACUCUUUCUGCAGAUUCGUGUACUCGACCUUCAUUUAGGGUCGAGUUUUCUGGAUCAUCGUUGUCUACUGAAUGAUGAUACGUAUCACAAGAUUUUGGAUAAGUAGAGAUCUGGAUCUGUGUUGAAGAUAAUUGGACGGUGAUGUGACAUAAGCAGCAUGAAACACUUCCAUUGGUGUUCGAUUCCUUCUUUGUUCAAGAUUGUUUUAUUUUCGAAUGUAACACUGAAAUGCUUUAGGGUAAGAAACUAAUGUGUACUAAAUAAUCAAGUAUAUAAAUUAACAUCAAAGGUUUAUGUUAUAUAUAAAAAAAAUGAAAAAAAAUAUUGUUUCUGAAA